GAUGAACGCUAGCGGCAGGCCUAACACAUGCAAGUCGAGGGGCAGCAUAAAACAAGCUUGCUUGUUUGGUGGCGACCGGCGCACGGGUGCGUAACGCGUAUGCAACCUACCCUGUACUGGGGGAUAGCCCGGAGAAAUUCGGAUUAAGACCCCAUAGUAUAUAUCAUUCGCAUGUUUGGUAUAUUAAAGGUUACGGUACAGGAUGGGCAUGCGUCCUAUUAGCUAGAUGGUGAGGUAACGGCUCACCAUGGCGACGAUAGGUAGGGGGCCUGAGAGGGUGGUCCCCCACACUGGUACUGGGACACGGACCAGACUCCUACGGGAGGCAGCAGUGAGGAAUAUUGGUCAAUGGGCGCAAGCCUGAACCAGCCAUGCCGCGUGCAGGAAGAAGGUCCUAUGGAUUGUAAACUGCUUUUAUUUGGGAAUAAACCUCUUUACGUGUAGAGAGCUGAAGGUACCAAAUGAAUAAGCACCGGCUAACUCCGUGCCAGCCGCCGCGGUAACAC
rnacentral:rRNA from 1 species